ensembl:lncRNA
AAUGUGUAAGAUGCAGCGCUCUUUCGGUCGCAACGCACAGUGUUUUGAGAAAGGGGAUCAGGUCCUAGCCUUGCUGCCCAUCGGUCCUUUUCGAACUAGUGUUGCUGAUCCCUACACUAUGGGGAGGUGUUGUUUGAAUCACGACUGUUGUAAUUAGCACACCACACUGUAAAAAAGAGGGAUAAUGAAUAAUACUUGUUCUGUGACCUGUUCUCCUCUUGUCUCUUCAGUUUUUCAAGGACCCAGGAUGGUGGAGCCCAGAGAUGGGACAGGGUCACAGGGCUCUUUUCUUUUUUUUCAGGUUCCUGGGAGGAACCUUCUUGGGGUGGGAGGUGUUACGACCCCAUGUGCCCCUGCGCACCCUGCCUGCAGUCCCUAGACUGGCCAUAUGGAGGCAGCAGGCUGUGGACCUACAACCAGCAUGAUGAGCAGUGAUUAUCCACACCUGGUUGUAGAUGUGGAUAUAAAAACACUGCUACGUCUGAUGGAAGGCCCUUCUCAGCUUCCGCUACUCUCACACACACUUUUGACAAACGCUCCUACUCACGUACAUAUCCACUUCACGCAUCUUUGGAAACCCCUAGACUUUCUCCUUUGCAAUACACUUUGUAGUAAAUAAAUAGUCUUGUGUUACAAUCCGCCACAUUGUCUGUCUCUACCGUUUUUAUGUUGCGACCCACGAGCCGGUCGUAACAACCACACUACACUAUACUACACUAUACUAAACUACACUGCACUAUACUAUACUAAACUAUACUAUACCAUACUAUCCAAGGUGUGGUCAAAACGUUCUGGGACUGUGCCUAUAAAAAGCAAAAACCAUAGCUGAUUUAAAUGUGGCUGUCUUCUCCUUUGAGGUAGUCACCUUGUGCAGUGAUACGCCGCUCCCAGCGCUCUUCAAGUCCUGUUCCUUAAGGGUCUCCAGCACCAUCUGCGACGCACUGUGGAUCUCCUUCACGGUGAACUGCAACCUUUCAGCUUCAAAUUCAUCUUGGGGAAGAGGAAGAAGCCGCAGGAAGCCAAUUCUGGCAAGUAAAGACUUUACCAUAAACCAUGCAGAUAACAGCACUCUUUCCAGUCCCUGUUUCCGACCAGACGGCCUGACAGACACAUAUCCACUCCCUGUCCCCAUCGCUCCGCGGGUGGAUAUCCACUCCUCAUGCCAUCAGGAAAUCCAGUGAGUGUGUGUGUGUGUGUGUGAUGGAGCGACUCAGAUGCACUAACAGGAUUAGAGUGUUUUUCACUGCGCCCGGGUCCCCUGACCUUUCCAGGCACUGAUAAAGGUGACCUGCUGAAUGAACCUGAGUCUGUCCAACACUAGUGAUCAUCUCUGAGCCUCUGGCCCUGUGAGUCUGUGGACACCCCGCUGUCCUGGGCCACAGGUAAACAGUCAAGUCCAUCAUGGCUCUAGAACUCUAAAAAUAAUCCAGCCUUCACUAGAAAAUAACUGUAUAUGUAAUCUAGAACUCUUAAUAUGGAAUACACACAAUUCAUUUGUAAUCUACAACUCCAAAUAUGAUACACAAGACGAUUUAUGAUACACAAAAAUAUGAUACACAAAAAGAAGAGAGUGGGAGAGCAGCCUGUUUGUGAGAGCAGCCUUCAU